GUCCAGAAAUAUAACAGUUAAUAUGUCAGUAAUAGCAGCCUCUGAUGUACAUAAUAAAAUCCAAUAUUUGCCAGAUUUUAGUUAUCCUGUUUUAUAGUUCUGUCAUACUCUUGAUUCUGUGUUGUCCAUUGCUUUAACUUGUUUCUCAUAAAAGAUUAUUCAGCCUUCUGUGGAAACUGCAGUGGAUGCUGCUACAACCUCCAUUUGUCUUCGGACCAGCACUGCUGCCAAGAAACCAAAGCAGUGGCUGGUCUGCAUGCAUAAGCAGGCCAUUUUCUGUACAACUUUAUCUUCAUGGAUGGUUCUUGUUACGGGCUUGGCUCACAGGCCCAGGUGAAGAGCUUAUCAGUAUCUUAAUAAUGCUCGCUACCUCAACAUCUGCUGGUAUUCAGCGUGCCUUCCUUACUACAUCGUUGAGAUGAGCUCACCGCCUUGACGCAUGCUACUACUUCAUGUGGGUUCUCUGCUAAGCUGUCAAGCUGAUGUGAUGCCUUUACUACCUGCCUAUAAACUGCCGUUGGACUUGUAUUCUCUGCUGCAGCAGCGACCUGAUGUGUAGCUGUGUAAAUAGCUAUGUAGAAAGCUAUUUUGUGUAAGUGCACGCUGCUCUAUAAGCAUGCUUUUAUAAGUAGAUCCUUUGUGACCAUCGUUCAGCCAGGUCCUAUGCCCAGAAUAUGGGUUGAACUUCAUCUGCACUUUAUCAACUUCUAUGGAUGGCAUGAAUUAUUGCCCAGGAAGACUUUGUGUCGAUAUGCUUCGAUUUC